GUGCUCACUUCGGCAGCACAUAUACGAAAAUUGGAAAGAUACAGAGCAGAGUAGAAUGGCCCCUGCGCAAGGACAGCAUGCAAACUGGUGAAGCAGUGCAGAUUUUU